UGUGUCCUGCAGUGUCGCAGCCGAAGCGUAACUUCAACACGAUGCGUUCUCCUAAAGAUCUGACCUCUGAGAGCUCCAUAUCCAGGUUGCUGUUCUGCUGUUGGUUUCCGUGGAUGCUGCGUGCUGAGAUGCAGUCCUAACCACGCCCCUCUCCCUCCGCUGUCUCCUCUCUCCAUCUUUAUGUCUCGCCGUCCUCUCGGAGUCUCCUCGCAGUCGUCAGUCACGCUCACACUGAAACCCCCCCCCCCUUCUCUCUGACUCUCAGCCCUUCUAAUUUAGCCGUUCUAUAGCAACAUCUAUAGUGCCUUGUAUCUUAUCAAACGUUCCUGUAACCAAACUGAAACCGCUCUGCUAAGCAAUCCCCCCCGAAAUCAAUCUUUUAUCCUUUUUCACGUCGUCGUCCAGUUUGGUAUUUUCUGCAUGCUCCUAAAUUCAGGGCAGAAAACUGCUGUUAGCUCAACAUCAGUUUCUGCUGCUAAAUGUUUCAUUUUUGCCAAAUUUUGAAUCGAGUGCCAGAUGAAUUUAUCACAAACUUGGAAAUCAAAACUUGGAAAUAACGACAAUAAUAAUAACGCUGACACUUGGACUCAAAUAUUGCAGUUUGCGUAUUUGUCGGGUCCUGAAGAGCUGAUACACAACUUAGACUCGGAGGCCUGCAGAACUUGGCACUGCAACGCACAUUAAAUGAAAUCAUUUCAAAGUUUCCAUACACACCGAUACCUGAGCUUGAUUCUGCUUAGCUCCAAAUGUUUGGAUACUGUUCAGUGUUGAGUGGUUUUUUGAUUUGGUUUCUGUUUCGUUGCCACUCGUCUGAGAACAAGGCUUCGUCCACACGAGUACAUUAAGUUUAAAAAGCUCUGCGACACAUUUGUCUGACGUCCACGCGGCUCCGGAGUCUUAGAGAUGCUAAAACUGAUCAUUGUGUAAACGCUGCUGCACCCGUGUUACUGACCCUGUUGUCUUUGUUAACAGCUGCUGUUCUGUGUUUGACUAUGAUACUAUUUACAUGCCGUACAUGGCACACGCAUGCCCGUGCACGUCAGUGGUCAUGUGAUAUGCGUUCUGAGGCGUGUUAGUAUGGACGGAGAUUAAAACGAAUGCUGAGACGAAACACUCUGGGCACAGAGAUUGUUUUAUUGCUGUUUGGACUAAUUGGCAGAUUGUUGCUCUGUAAGAAGUUCGCUCUGUUUGGCAAUGAUUUAACGAGAAUGAGGGCGCCGCCUCUAGCUCUAACGCCUCCACCAGAUGGUUUCUCCUCUCAGAGAACCAUAGUUACACAUGGAACCACAAAGUGUGAGAAGUGAAAUCAUCCUCGUGCUUUAAACGCAGACGUCAAAGUGAAAACAGGGUUUAUCAGCGACUGACUUAAUAUUUAUCGGUCGGUCUUAUUUUUUUAUCUUUCACAUGUAACAGUCCUAAUUUCAGAUGUGGUUUCUCGAGCUCUAUGAAAUAUCUCAUACAUGAGUGAAGCGGAUGACGUCAUUGUACCAUAGAUUUGAUGUGACGUCACAUGUUUAAUACAAAGUGCAGCUUUAAGUUGUGGUCGUUGCACUUUACAGAUUUCAACACAGAGGAAACCGCUGAGCUCAGACUCACUUUUAGACUUUGAUAGAUGAAAUAGAUGACACUUUAAUCAUAUAGUGAAAAUAUUAGUCCAUCGAGUCAGAGUGAAAAUAUAGUGUAUGAUAGAAAUCGUACAAAGAUCUGCGAUUAUAAUCUGUCAUUAACCAAAACUGCUAACAGACCCAAAACGUUUCCAGCUCUGUGAAGUGAAAUAUCAACGUUUGUUUUGUCGUCGUUUGCAUCUGAAAACAAAUUUAUUUUUAAACUUAAAAUGUUUUACAACAACUUUUAAUGGCGUUGGAGUUAAAUCUUUGUGGACGAUAAUCAUCCGUACGUCUCCGUCCCCUCGUCAAACGCUCUUCUUCUUGACCUCCAUGUUUUUAAUUUCCUACCACAGAAAUUUGAAUCUCUCAAAGGUUUUUCUCUCUUUCCCUCCUCUCCUCUCAUCCCUCUCUCUCCAUUCAAAUCAGACUUCUGUACUUGUUGUGAACGUGAGCAUCCGCGACGAGACGAAACACAAACACAAGUUAACCUGAACCUACGUGUGCUUCAUGUUAAACUCUCUCUCUGUAAACAGCAAUAUGUAAUAAUAUGUACCUGGUUCCUGUGUUGUCUCUUUACACUCUGCAAGCACACGAACACAGAGCGACGCUCACGCUCUGACGGCCGAGGUUGUCGAGAGCAAGACGCAAAAAAAAUAUUCAGUCGCUUUGAGGCGGAAGAAAUAAGCAGAAACCAAAACGAACGACGUGUGGAGGCGUGUUAGCGCCGCAGCGACCGGUCGAUUCAAAGACUCAACAGCCGUCAGGAUUAUUUUCUAUUGGAAAUAAGGAGCGAACAAACAUAACAGAUGGAAAUAUAUUUGUUCAACUGUUGGAUUAGAUUCGCUGCAGCUUUUUCAAACAACAUUCUCAAAACUUGUCCUGUUGACUUUUCGAGUGUGAAGUCGCUCAGACUGAAUAACGUUUCUCAGUUGGUGUCUGUGCUCCGCCGUCUUGUCCGGAGGAAACACUGGCUCCUGCAACUGUUCUGUUUGUGCCUCAAAAUUCUACCAACGAUAACGACUUAGUUUAGACCAGCUGCAGUAUUUAGCUCAGCUCUGAAAGUCGUCCGGCUGCAGCUUUCUUUAAUUCAGGUGUAUAAAUGUCCUUAAGACGUCCGGACAACUACAAUCUGUCCUGGAGACAAAUUUUAAUCCAGUUGCUAAAACUAAACAAUUUACCAAAAUGCAUUAUUGUGUGAUGUCCCAACAAAUUCUAUCUCUCAUGAGAAAAGAGGUGAAGCUGCCGACAUGUGGGGAUUUCCUCCUCUUUACUCCAGAGCAGAACUUAUUGAUUUCACAUUCAGAUAUUUCUAAUGCUUCUACUCAAAACCCUGCGCUAGCACUCAAAUAGUUCCUGCUUGUGCUCAAGCCGUGUGCUUCUGUGCACAUGUUAAACGUCUGCUCUCGGAUUUUCUCUCUGCGCUCGGACUCUUCUGUGCAGUAAACCUGAGCUGGAGCGCAGAGAAUCGGAGUGCAAGUGCACAGUUUGAGCAUAAGAGACACAGGUGAUUUUAGCAUUUGACGUUGAAAGCUCGGUGUGAUUUUAGAACCUAAAGUUAACAAGCCAAUAAAUCAGUCAGAAGUGAAUCAGGUCCUGGAAGUUCUGUUUUUAAAAGAUGAGAGAAUCCUCCCAUCAACACAAUAUUCAGAUGACGGGGAGAUGUUCCUUCCUGUGUUCGAGCUACUUUCAUCUGCCAUCCCACCCUGAGCCAGGUGAACUGAAGUGAACCCACGUGUUGUGGUUUACGUCUGUGAAUAAUUAUCACUGCAGCUCGUUGUUCGAUGCCGAAGCUCCACAGAGCGAGGGUCUGCUGACUCCGUCGUGCUGAGCGUUAGUGGGCCACAGUGCUGGUUUGUCUUUGUACAGUAAACGUACAGUACAGUCAUUCUUACUGUGUAAAUAUGGAGCUUUCUCUGGUUUGGCCACUAAGUGUCACUAGUGAGUCACUGAUUAUUCAACUUACUACAGAUGAAAUAUUACGUAAACGUUCCUUAUGUUUUCUCUUCAUUUGUUUCUUUUCAACGGACGAUCGUGGUUUUGCCUGUUUUAGCUCUUUGCUAGCUCUUUUCAUUGUGUCCAGGAAACCGUCACUUCCUGUCUGUGUGUAAGAAGAUCAGCGAGAAUCGGUCGUUGUUAUUUAGUCGGCGUUCUUGAGAAGGAUGUGAGACUGAAGCCGUGUUGUUUGUCUGAAACGAAGCAAACACGUGAAGUCAUUCUUAUUUGUAGCCAACGAGCUAAAACCUUCAGAACCAGUGGUCGUUUGAAUCCUCUAUAAUCAAUGGGUGUACGUGUGUGAGAAUAAAACGUUAAACUCCUUCUCAUAGUAACUAACUCAGUAACUGGUUGUUUUAUCAUCUUAUCAAUAAACAGUAUAUAGCCUAUUUUUUGAUAACUUCACUAAGUGUACUUUCUGUUCUCCGGUUUUGUUUGUGUGUGUGUGUGUGUGUGUGUGAGAGAGUGUGUGUGUGUGAGUCACUCCUGUUUUAAAAGUAUGUGGAGCUGACGGACGUUAAAGAAACAGGAGAGAACGAGCAUCGGACGUCCUCAUCCUAACACCACUCACUGCAUGCUCUCUCUCCCCCUCUCUCUCUCUCUGUCAGUAUUUUCUGGGUUUUUCGACGUGAAUCUUCUCAUCGGCAUGAAAAUGCUUCUAAUAACAACAGUGACAACUGUAUGAAUAUAAUAAAGAAUUUGAUGUUGGUUUUCUA